AGUGGGUAGUCCGUACGAGCGCACCUUAUCCUUAGUUGCCAGCGAGUAAAGUCGGGGACUCUAAGGAGACUGCCGGUGUCAAACCGGAGGAAGGCGGGGACGACGUCAAGUCAUCAUGGUCCUUACGCCCAGGGCCACAAACGUGCUACAAUGGUCGGUACAAUGGGCAGCAAACCCGUGAGGGUAAGCAAAUCCCAAAAAGCCGGCCCCAGUUCGGAUUGAAGGCUGCAAUUCGCCUUCAUGAAGUCGGAAUCGCUAGUAAUCGCAGAUCAGCCAUGCUGCGGUGAAUGUGUUCCUGAGCCUUGUACACACCGCCCGUCAAGCCACCCAAAUGGUCCGCACCCGAAGUCGCUACCUUAACCAGCUUGCUGGAGAGGGGCGCCGAAGGUGAGGGUCGUGAGGGGGACUAAGUCGUAACAAGGUAGCCGUAGGGGAACCUGCGGCUGGAUCACCUCCUUUCU
rnacentral:rRNA from 1 species